ensembl:lncRNA
ACCUUCCCUCCGGGACCGGAAGUGACGACACACGGCCCCUCCCCCUCCGCAGUGGGCGGGGUAAAGGCCACCGCGGUCACGUGACCUCCGGGAUAGCCCAAGACGAGGGGCGGGGCCAGUUCCGGAAGGGGCGGGGCUUCCUCGGACCCCGCCCACAGCGGGUCUCCUUCCGGCCACGCCCACACCAGCAAGGCCCCGCCCACUUGGGCGGCGACCAAUCGCGUCCCGUCGGGAUCCCAGCAGAGGGCGCUGAUUGGACGGCCGCGUGGGCUUGGCAGAUCCUGCAGGAGGACCGACCAGUAUAGGACCAGUAUGGACCAGUAUAGGACCAGUAUGGACCAGUAUGGACCAGUAUGGACCAGUAUGGGUCCAGUAUGCCCCAGUACAACCCAGUAUAGACCAGUAUAGGCCAGUAUGGGACCAGUAUAGACAAGUAUGGAACAGUAUAGACGAGUAUGGGUCCAGUAUACCCCAGUACAGCUAAGUAUAGACCAGUAUAGACGAGUAUGGGUCCAGUAUAGACCAGUAUGGAACAGUAUAGACCAAUAUGUGACCAUAUGGGACCAGUAUGGAGCAGUAUGGACCAGUAUGGGACCAGUAUGGGACCAGUAUAGCCCAUUAUAGAUCACUAUAGACCAGUAUAGGCCAGUAUGGACCAGUAUGGGACCAGUAUUGCCCAUUAUAGAUCACUAUAGAACAGUAUGGGACCAGUAUGAACCAAUAUGGACCAGUAUAGACCAAUAUGGGACCAGUAUGGACCAAUAGGGACCAGUAUAGACCAAUAUGGGACCAGUAUGGACCAGUAUAGACCAGUAUGGGUCCAGGACGCCCCAGUACAGCCCAGUAUAGACCAGUAUAGACCAGUAUGGGACCAGUAUGGACCA